ensembl:lncRNA
GUGUUUGUGUGUAAACUUUACUCUGAGACAACAACAGUGUGUGGAUGCGGAGAGGAGAACUCAAAGAGAAAGAGAAAUCUAAAGUAGAUUUAGCACAGAGGGUUUAAUCAUGCCAGUGUCUCUGUUUAAAGUCUUCAUAUGCAAUAAUUCAAUUACACUUCAAAAUAAACAACUCCACGCGAAAAGGAAAAGGAGAGACGCCACUAAGACCACGCCUCCUCAUCAAUACGACCACGCCCCCUCAUCACUUAGACCACGCCCUCAUCCCUAAAACCACGCCUGGGGUGGUUGGAUAUUGCAACCUGUUCCCUGGCAGCAGCCGUUCCAAUCUGGCCCCAAUCUAGACUGCAGCCGUCUCAAUCUGGCCCUAAUCUAGACUGGAGCCGUCCUAAUCUGGCCCUAUUCUAGACUGGAGCCGUCCUAAUCUGGCCCUAAUCUAGCCCCAAUCUGGCCCUAUUCUAGACUGGAGCCGACUGGAGCCGUCCUAAUCUGACCCUAAUCUAGACUGGAGCCGUCCUAAUCUGGCCCUAAUCUAGACUGGAGCCGUCCUAAUCUGGCCCUAAUCUUGACUGGAGCCGUCCUAAUCUGGCCCUAAUCUAGCCCCAAUCUGACCCUAAUCUGGACUGGAGUCGGCUGCCGCCUGGGUUGCAUAAUGCUGCCACCCGGAAGGAGAAAAUCUAAUCUCAUCACCUGUCAAUCAUGAAGGCAGAUCCAAUCAGGUUCGCCCACUGAUAUAUAGACACACCCAUUCACCUGUCAAUCAUGAAGGCAGAUCCAAUCAGGUUCGCCCACUGAUAUAUAGACACACCCAUUUAUUCGCACCUGCCAUGUUACAGUGUAAAUAAGAGCAGGUAACCCCGCCCACUCAUCAUCAUCAACAUCAUCAUUAUCAUCAACACCAUCAUCACCAUCAUCAUCAUCAUCACCAUCAUCAUCAUCAUCAUCAUCAUCACCAUCAUCAUCACCAUCAUCAUUAUCAUCAUCAUCUUCAUCCCCCCUACAGGAUCACCACAUGUCUUUUUAGUAGACGUGCAAAAAAGGGGAAAGAUCAGGUGAGGGUGAAGGGUUGGGGUCAGGGGUCGGGGUUAACCCAGGGGGAAGGGUUAGGGUCGGGGUUAGGGUCGGGGGUCGGGGUGAAGGGUUGGGGUCAGGGGUCGGGGUCGGGGUUAACCCAGGGGGAAGGGUUAGGGUCGGGGUUAGGAUUGGGGUGAGGGAGAGGGGUCGGGGUGAAGGGUUAGGGUGAAGGGUCGGGGGUGAAGGGUCGGGGGUCGGGGUGAAGGCCUAGUCGGGUUGGAUCUAGAGCUAGAGCUGAGAAACAUCUAGAACUGGAAGAAAGUUGGAAGGGAGGAGGUCACGUGUGGAACCGGUGUGCACUCUAGAACCAUCCAUCUCUCUCUCUCUCUCUCUCUACCUCUCUCUCUCUCUCUCUCUCUCU